UCAGUCGGCCGGACGGCCGCUCCGGUAAGGCUCGAAAGGGCGCCGGGGAGGAAAGUCCGGGCUCCACGGACACACGGUGCCGGAUAACGUCCGGCGAGUCCGGUCUCCGCUUCCCGGAGACAGGGCCUAGGGAAAGUGCCACAGAAAAGUGAGACCGCCUCGGCCGCGUUGCGUAUUGGCGCGAGGCAAGGGUGAAACGGUGCGGUAAGAGCGCACCGCGUUUGCGGCGACGCAGACGGCACGGCAAACCCCACCGGGAGCAAAACCGAAUAGGAACGGCGCGGGACUUGUCUUCGCGAAAGCGGGACACUCUCAGGUCUGUCCGGACCAGCCGUUCGGGUAGGUUGCUUCAGGCGCCGGGCAACCGGCGUCGCAGAGGAAUGGCCGUCACGUUCGCAUCGCGAGAUGCGGGCCAUACAGAACCCGGCUUACAGGCGGGCUGACAUC
rnacentral:RNase_P_RNA from 1 species